rnacentral:rRNA from 1 species
CUUUCUUUGCUGGCGACCGGCGCACGGGUGAGUAACACGUAUCCAACCUGCCUUUACUCGGGGAUAGCCUUUCGAAAGAAAGAUUAAUACCCGAUAGCAUAAUGAUUCCGCAUGGUUUCAUUAUUAAAGGAUUCCGGUAAAGGAUGGGGAUGCGUUCCAUUAGGUUGUUGGUGAGGUAACGGCCCACCAAGCCUUCGAUGGAUAGGGGUUCUGAGAGGAAGGUCCCCCACAUUGGAACUGAGACACGGCCCAA